rnacentral:misc_RNA from 1 species
AUUACUCCAUCUCGUGUGCUCGCGUCUUGAUGCGUGUCAUGCGGGGUUGGAGAUAAUGUUUUUGGGCAUCGAUAAGUGCCAAGGAAUAGUUUGCAAAGCGGCUUAUUGCGCAUCUUGAUGCNUGAUAAAAUAAGACAUCGAAAGACUCUCGGCAACGGAUAUCUUGGCUCUUGCAUCGAUGAAGAACGCAGCGAAAUGCGAUAUGUGUUGUGAAUUGCAGAAUCCCGUGAACCAUCCAGUCUUUGAACGCAAGUCGCGCCCAAGGUUGCACGCCGAGGGCACGUCUGCAUGGGUGUGAUGCGUUAAGUCGCUCUCACAGGAAANCCCCCUUCUUGGUGCCUCGGUUCCUGUUUGGAGGCGAGCGGUGGCUCCCCGUGCUGUUGCAUGGUGAGUUGAAGUGCUGGCUGAUGUUUGGCUCGUGAUGCUCUAAGAGGUGGAAGUUGCACAAAGCGUUGUGCAGGCGUCCAGUCGAGCUUGACGUUGCAGCCCAUCA